rnacentral:rRNA from 1 species
UCGUAAGUCCCGCAACGAGCGCAACCCCUAUUGUUAGUUGCCAUCAUUCAGUUGGGGCACUCUAGCGAGACUGCCGGUAAUAAACCGGAGGAAGGUGGGGGAUGACGUCAAAUCAUCAUGCCCCUUAUGACCUGGGCUACACACGUGCUACAAUGGUUGGUACAACGAGUUGCGAGUCGGUGACGGCGAGCUAAUCUCUUAAAGCCAAUCUCAGUUCGGAUUGUAGGCUGCAACUCGCCUACAUGAAGUCGGAAUCGCUAGUAAUCGCGGAUCAGCAUGCCGCGGUGAAUACGUUCCCGGGCCUU